AUGAUCAGAUCACUGAGUAAGUCAUAGAUAUACCCGCACUUCCUGUGUGGAUCGGCCGACUAACUCAAUGAUAAUUGCUCCGUCUCUAAGCAGUUUGAAUCUAUAAAUAGAAUAACAAAAGGAAGGAAACGAAAUUUUAAACUGAUUUCCGCCAUUACAAAAAUAACAUGAAACCUACAGUUCACGACACAUCGCAUAGGAAUUUAAAAUAAAUAUUAGGCCUAUAGGUUUAAUACAUAUUGCAUAGAAUAUAGAAAUUUAGAUCUAGUGUUCUGGUUAGUAGUUAUUUCAUGUUUAUUAGGAUAUAGUCUAGAUUCUAGAAUCUAAUCAUACGGCUGCAUAAAAAACCCAUCUAGAUCUACUCUAGAGAAGCGGAGUGUUUUCCGCACUCGAGAGGAAAGAGGUUGCAGGGAACUUAGAGACUAAUCUUUGCCAACAUACUGGAUUUCUGGUGAUGACAAUAGGAGCAGAUAGUAUGUGGCUCAGUUAAUACUAAAAACAAUUUAUUUUAGUAAUUAGUGGACUAUGAGUGUGUGUUUGGCCAUCCAGAUUUCAUAACUACAACUGAUGUUCAAUUACAAGGGAUAUUAAUCAGUCUCCGUGGACUAUACACUGUGCCUAGUUUCAUCCUCAGAGACUGAUGUGUAAGCUUAAAGUAAAGACAUCAAAGUAUCAGCUAUCAAGAGGAAGAACAUUCAAAAUCAUAUUGUGAUACACAAAUCAAGCAAGUCUAUGACCAGCAUUAUGAUACAGGCCAAGAAAAAGCUGGAUAUUUGAUUGAAAGGGUGGCACAAAAAAGAUGGGUUAUCACUAGGGAAACAAGCUCGGAAUACAGUUCACUGUUGGGACAUCAAGCCAAAUACUUCUAAACUUAUUUGAAUCAUUUUUGCUGUUUAUUAUAAUUCAUCCAAUUGUCUUAUUAAAUAUAUAAAUUUAUAUAUAUAUACACAAUUCCUAAUAUAGAAUUUCUAAAAAUGUUUUAUUAUAAUAUUUGAAAAUGAAACAAACAUGUUCCCAGAACACAGCCACAUAAUGUCAACAUAUUCCCAGAACACAGCCACAUAAUGUCAACAUGUUCCCAGAACACAGCCACAUAAUGUCAACAUGUUCCCAGAACACAGCCACAUAAUUUCAACAUGUUCCCAGAACACACAAAAUGGCAACAUGUUCCCAGAACACACAAAAUGGCAACAUGUUCCCAGAACACAGCCAAAUAAUGGCAUCAUAUUCCCAGAACACAGCCAAAUAAUGUCAACAUGUUCCAUGAACUCACAAAAUGGCAACAUGUUCCCAGAACACACAAAAUGUCAUUAUGUACCCAGAACACACAAAAUGGCAACAUGUUCCCAGAACACACAAAAUGGCAACAUGUGCCGAGAACACAACAAAUGACAACAUGUGCCGUUAACAAUACUUCACUUUUUCCUUAACAAUUUUACAAGCAGGUAAUAAAGCCAUAAAUCUUUACUGUGGAUAUAGCCAAUAAAUAGGGUAACCUUCAC